AGAACGAACGCUGGCGGCAGGCCUAACACAUGCAAGUCGAACGCCCCGCAAGGGGAGUGGCAGACGGGUGAGUAACGCGUGGGAACGUGCCCUAAGGUACGGAACAACUCCGGGAAACUGGAGCUAAUACCGUAUGUGCCCGAAAGAGGAAAGAUUUAUCGCCUUGGGAUCGGCCCGCGUCUGAUUAGCUAGUUGGUAGGGUAACGGCCUACCAAGGCUACGAUCAGUAGCUGGUCUGAGAGGAUGACCAGCCACACUGGGACUGAGACACGGCCCAGACUCCUACGGGAGGCAGCAGUGGGGAAUAUUGGACAAUGGGCGAAAGCCUGAUCCAGCCAUGCCGCGUGAGUGAUGAAGGCCUUAGGGUUGUAAAGCUCUUUCGGGUGGGGACGAUAAUGACGGUACCGCAGAAGAAGCCCGGCUAACUUCGUGCCAGCAGCCGC
rnacentral:rRNA from 1 species